rnacentral:rRNA from 1 species
GAUUUCUGGCAAACCGGGGCGGCCCGUGCUCUUAUUGGGUGCUGUGUGCCGUGUCGUGUUUGUCAUCCUUCCAGAGAGCUGCGUCUACCAUUCACUUGGCCGGACGUACGUGAUCUGGAUCGAUUACUUUGAAAAAAUUAGAGUGUUUAAAGCAGGCUUAUGCUGUGAAUACAUUAGCAUGGAAUAAUAAUUUAGGACUUCGGUCCUAUUUUGUUGGUUUCUAGGACAGAAGUAAUGAUUGAUAGGGACAGUUGGGGGUGCUAGUAUUCCGCGGCCAGAGGUGAAAUUCUUGGAUUCGCGGAAGACUAACUACUGCGAAAGCAUU